UCAAGCUAAUAAGGGCUAACGGUGGAUACCUAGGCACACGGAAGCGAAGAAGGACGUAGUUACCGACGAAACGCUUCGGGGAGCGGGAAGCAAGCAUUGAUCCGAAGAUAUCCGAAUGGGGCAACCCUAAACACGACCACCUGAAUACAUAGGGUGGAGCGAGCAAACCUGGUGAACUGAAACAUCUUAGUAGCCAGAGGAAAAGAAAGCAACAGCGAUUCCCCCAGUAGCGGCGAGCGAAAAGGGAACAGCCUAAACCAAGUUCUUCGGAACUUGGGGUCGUGGGACAGUGACAAAAGACUGGGAAAUUUAGACGAAGCGGCUGAAAACCGCACCAGAGAAGGUGAAAGUCCUGUAGUCGAAAAAGGCACCAGCUUAACUGCAUCCCGAGUAGCAUGGGGCACGUGAAAUCCCGUGUGAAUCUGCCUCGACCACGAGGUAAGGCUAAAUAUUCCCGUGUGACCGAUAGAGAAACAGUACCGCGAGGGAAAGGUGAAAAGAACCCCGGAAGGGGAGUGAAAUAGAACAUGAAACCGUUAGCCUACAAGCAAUGGGAGGACGAUUGAACGUCUGACCGUGUGCCUGUUGAAGAAUGAGCCGGCGACUUACAGGUUAUGGCAGGUGAAGGGGGAAGACCCCACAGCCCCAGCGAAAGCGAGUCUGAAUAGGGCGAAGCGUCAUAAUUUGUAGACCCGAACCCGGGUGAUCUAACCAUGGCCAGGAUGAAGCUUGGGUAAAACCAAGUGGAGGUCCGAACCGACUGAUGUUGAAAAAUCAGCGGAUGAGCUGUGGUUAGGGGUGAAAUGCCAAUCGAACUCGGAGCUAGCUGGUUCUCCCCGAAAUGUGUUGAGGCGCAGCGGUAGUGGAAGUUUAGUCGGGGUAAAGCACUGUUUCGCCGCGGGCUGGGAGACCGGUACCAAGGCGAGGCAAACUCUGAAUACGGCUAAAAAAACUACCAGUGAGACGGUGGGGGAUAAGCUUCAUCGUCAAGAGGGAAACAGCCCAGACCACCAGCUAAGGUCCCCAAAUGAUAACUAAGUGAGAAAGGAGGUGGGAGUGCAUUGACAACCAGGAGGUUUGCCUAGAAGCAGCAAUCCUUAAAAGAGUGCGUAAUAGCUCACUGGUCAAGCGCUCCUGCGCCGAAAAUGAACGGGGCUAAGUUAUCUACCGAAGCUGUGGACUACAUUGUAGUGGUAGGGGAGCGUUCUAUAGGGGGUGAAGCAGUAGCGGCAAGCAGCUGUGGACUCUAUAGAAGUGAGAAUGUCGGCUUAAGUAGCGAAAAUGUGGGUGAGAAUCCCACACCCCGAAACCCCAAGGUUUCCUCCGCAAGGCUCGUCCGCGGAGGGUGAGUCAGGACCUAAGGCGAGGCUGAAAAGCGUAGUCGAUGGACAACGGGUUAACAUUCCCGUACCGAUUAAUGAUUGUGCCGGAGAACGGAGAAGGUCAACGUCAGCUGGAUGUUGGUUACCAGUGCAAGCAGUCGAGGCGAUGAGCGGUGGCGAAAACACCAGGAGCUAAGACGCGAGUCCCACCUCCCACGGGAGGGAAGUGGCGCUGAUCAAGCUUCCUAGAAAAGCCCGAACCACGUUAAUCAUUAAUUGCCUGUACCCGAAACCGACACAGGUGGGGAAGUAGAGAAUACUAAGGGGCGCGAGAUAACUCUCUCUAAGGAACUCGGCAAAAUGACCCCGUAACUUCGGGAGAAGGGGUACCCUCGCAAGAGGGUCGCAGUGAAUAGGCCCAGGCGACUGUUUACCAAAAACACAGGUCUCCGCCAAGUCGUAAGACGCAGUAUGGGGGCUGACGCCUGCCCAGUGCCGGAAGGUUAAGGAAGUUGGUCAGGAGUAAUCUGAAGCUGACGACCGAAGCCCCGGUGAACGGCGGCCGUAACUAUAACGGUCCUAAGGUAGCGAAAUUCCUUGUCGGGUAAGUUCCGACCCGCACGAAAGGCGUAACGAUCUGGGCACUGUCUCGGAGAGAGACUCGGCGAAAUAGGAUUGUCUGUGAAGAUACGGACUACCUGCACCUGGACAGAAAGACCCUAUGAAGCUUUACUGUAGCCUGGAAUUGGCUUCGGGCUUCGCUUGCGCAGGAUAGGUGGGAAGCUUUGAAACUCUCCUCGUGGGGAGGGUGGAGCUAACGGUGAGAUACCACUCUGGCGAGGCUAGAAUUCUAACCCUGACCCCUAAUCGGGGCGGGAGACAGUUUCAGGUGGGCAGUUUGACUGGGGCGGUCGCCUCCUAAAAGGUAACGGAG
rnacentral:rRNA from 1 species